ACAGUCACACAUUAGAUACCCCGGUAGUCCUAGCCGUAAACGAUACUCGCUAGGUGUCGGCCACGGUGCGACCGUUGUCGGUGCCGUAGGGAAGCCGUGAAGCGAGCCACCUGGGAAGUACGGCCGCAAGGCUGAAACUUAAAGGAAUUGGCGGGGAGCACCACAACGGGUGGAGCCUGCGGUUUAAUUGGACUCAACGCCGGGAAGCUCACCGGAUAAGACAGCGGAAUGAUUGCCGGGCUGAAGACUCUGCAUGACUAGCUG
rnacentral:rRNA from 1 species